rnacentral:rRNA from 1 species
CCUACGGGAGGCAGCAGUGGGGAAUAUUGGACAAUGGGCGCAAGCCUGAUCCAGCAAUGCCGCGUGAGUGAUGAAGGCCUUAGGGUUGUAAAGCUCUUUUACCAGGGAUGAUAAUGACAGUACCUGGAGAAUAAGCUCCGGCUAACUCCGUGCCAGCAGCCGCGGUAAUACGGAGGGAGCUAGCGUUGUUCGGAAUUACUGGGCGUAAAGCGUACGUAGGCGGUUAUUCAAGUCAGAGGUGAAAGCCCGGGGCUCAACCCCGGGAACUGCCUUUGAAACUAGGUAGCUAGAAUCUUGGAGAGGUCAGUGGAAUUCCGAGUGUAGAGGUGAAAUUCGUAGAUAUUCGGAAGAACACCAGUGGCGAAGGCGACUGACUGGACAAGUAUUGACGCUGAGGUACGAAAGCGUGGGGAGCAAACAGGAUUAGAUACCCUGGUAGUCCACGCCGUAAACGAUGAUAACUAGCUGUCCGGGUACACGUUGGUGACGUGGGUGGCGCGAGCUACGACAUUAAGUUACGUCCGUCCGUCGGGUAGGUACGGUCGCGAGAAUUAAACUAACAAGAAGUAGACGGCGUGAGACGUGCCGACGGACGACGACGAGGGAGGUAGG